rnacentral:rRNA from 1 species
CGGACGGGUGAGUAAUGUCUGGGAAACUGCCUGAUGGCGGGGGAUAACUACUGGAAACGGUAGCUAAUACCGCAUAACGUCGCAAGACCAAAGAGGGGACCUUCGGGCCUCUUGCCAUCGGAUGUGCCCAGAUGGGAUUAGCUAGUAGGUGGGGUAACGGCUCACCUAGGCGACGAUCCCUAGCUGGUCUGAGAGGAUGACCAGCCACACUGGAACUGAGACACGGUCCAG